rnacentral:rRNA from 1 species
UACGUAGGGUGCGAGCGUUAAUCGGAAUUACUGGGCGUAAAGCGUGCGCAGGCGGUUUUGUAAGCCAGAUGUGAAAGCCCCGGGCUUAACCUGGGAAUGGCAUUUGGGACUGCAAGGCUGGAGUGUGGCAGAGGAGACUGGAAUUCCUGGUGUAGCAGUGAAAUGCGUAGAUAUCAGGAGGAAUACCGAUGGCGAAGGCGGUUCUCUGGGCAUGUCCUGACGCUGAGGAGCGAAAGUGUGGGGAGCGAACAGG